AAUAGAUACCCCGGUAGUCCACGCCGUAAACGAUGUCGACUUGGAGGUUGUUCCCUUGAGGAGUGGCUUCCGGAGCUAACGCGUUAAGUCGACCGCCUGGGGAGUACGGCCGCAAGGUUAAAACUCAAAUGAAUUGACGGGGGCCCGCACAAGCGGUGGAGCAUGUGGUUUAAUUCGAUGCAACGCGAAGAACCUUACCUACUCUUGACAUCCAGAGAACUUAGCAGAGAUGCUUUGGUGCCUUCGGGAACUCUGAGACAGGUGCUGCAUGGCUGUCGUCAGCUCCUGUUGUGAAAUGUUGGGUUAAGUCCCGCAACGAGCGCAACCCUUAUCCUUUGUUGCCAGCGGUUCGGCCGGGAACUCAAAGGAGACUGCCAGUGAUAAACUGGAGGAAGGUGGGGAUGACGUCAAGUCAUCAUGGCCCUUACGAGUAGGGCUACACACGUGCUACAAUGGCGUAUACAAAGAGAAGCGACCUCGCGAGAGCAAGCGGACCUCAUAAAGUACGUCGUAGUCCGGAUUGGAGU
rnacentral:rRNA from 1 species